UACGGAGGGUGCAAACGUUGCUCGGAAUCAUUGGGCGUAAAGCGCACGUAGGCGGCCUGAUAAGUCGGAUGUGAAAGCCCUGGGCUCAACCCAGGAAGUGCAUUCGAAACUGUCAGGCUUGAAUGUGGAAGAGGGUCGCGGAAUUCCCGGUGUAGAGGUGAAAUUCGUAGAUAUCGGGAGGAACACCAGUGGCGAAGGCGGCGACCUGGGCCAACAUUGACGCUGAGGUGCGAAAGCGUGGGGAG
rnacentral:rRNA from 1 species